rnacentral:rRNA from 1 species
UCUGUAGCAAGGUUAACCGAAUAGGGGAGCCGGAGGGAAACCGAGUCUUAAUUGGGCGUUAAGUUGCAGGGUAUAGACCCGAAACCCGGUGAUCUAGCCAUGGGCAGGUUGAAGGUUGGGUAACACUAACUGGAGGACCGAACCGACUAAUGUUGAAAAAUUAGCGGAUGACCUGUGGCUGGGGGUGAAAGGCCAAUCAAACCGGGAGAUAGCUGGUUCUCCCCGAAAGCUAUUUAGGUAGCGCCUCGUGAAUUCAUCUCCGGGGGUAGAGCACUGUUUCGGCUAGGGGGCCAUCCCGGCUUACCAACCCGAUGCAAACUGCGAAUACCGGAGAAUGUUAUCACGGGAGACACACGGCGGGUGCUAACGUCCGUCGUGAAGAGGGAAACAACCCAGACCGCCAGCUAAGGUCCCAAAGUCAUGGUUAAGUGGGAAACGAUGUGGGAAGGCCCAGACAGCCAGGAUGUUGGCUUAGAAGCAGCCAUCAUUUAAAGAAAGCGUAAUAGCUCACUGGUCGAGUCGGCCUGCGCGGAAGAUGUAACGGGGCUAAACCAUGCACCGAAGCUGCGGCAGCGACGCUUAUGCGUUGUUGGGUAGGGGAGCGUUCUGUAAGCCUGUGAAGGUGGCCUGUGAGGGUUGCUGGAGGUAUCAGAAGUGCGAAUGCUGACAUAAGUAACGAUAAAGCGGGUGAAAAGCCCGCUCGCCGGAAGACCAAGGGUUCCUGUCCAACGUUAAUCGGGGCAGGGUGAGUCGACCCCUAAGGCGAGGCCGAAAGGCGUAGUCGAUGGGAAACGGGUUAAUAUUCCCGUACUUGGUGUUACUGCGAAGGGGGGACGGAGAAGGCUAUGUUGGCCGGGCGACGGUUGUCCCGGUUUAAGCGUGUAGGUGUGUGUUCCAGGUAAAUCCGGUUCACUUUAACACUGAGGCGUGAUGACGAGGCACUACGGUGCUGAAGUAACAAAUGCCCUGCUUCCAGGAAAAGCCUCUAAGCAUCAGGUAACAUCAAAUCGUACCCCAAACCGACACAGGUGGUCAGGUAGAGAAUACCAAGGCGCUUGAGAGAACUCGGGUGAAGGAACUAGGCAAAAUGGUGCCGUAACUUCGGGAGAAGGCACGCUGACACGUAGGUGAAGUGAUUUACUCACGGAGCUGAAGUCAGUCGAAGAUACCAGCUGGCUGCAACUGUUUAUUAAAAACACAGCACUGUGCAAACACGAAAGUGGACGUAUACGGUGUGACGCCUGCCCGGUGCCGGAAGGUUAAUUGAUGGGGUCAGCGCAAGCGAAGCUCCUGAUCGAAGCCCCGGUAAACGGCGGCCGUAACUAUAACGGUCCUAAGGUAGCGAAAUUCCUUGUCGGGUAAGUUCCGACCUGCACGAAUGGCGUAAUGAUGGCCAGGCUGUCUCCACCCGAGACUCAGUGAAAUUGAACUCGCUGUGAAGAUGCAGUGUACCCGCGGCAAGACGGAAAGACCCCGUGAACCUUUACUAUAGCUUGACACUGAACAUUGAGCCUUGAUGUGUAG